UCAGGUGAAAGCAUCAGGAGUUCUGUGUUCCCGAAAAGUCUUUUUUAGUUGAGCUGAACAUUUUUCUGUGUUCCAGAAAGGAUGAACUGGCACUCUGCAGGGCACAUAUUUUCUGUAAUCUUAGCAGUUACAUGAAAUUAUGGUCAUGUUGAAUUUUUUUAUUACUAUUUUUUGAUUUCAAGGAUGCUCUGAGCUCCAGCCAAGGCCCUCUGUUGAAGUUGGAGCUGCUACACAAAGAGACUGACAGAGCAUCACAAAGAAUAAGAUGAAAGUUCAAGGAGCAACAUGCUAACGUUUCAGAGCAACCUUCAAGCCAAAAGGAGCUGAGCUAUUGGGACUAAAGAGAGAUUUGUGGUGACAAGACCAAAACCACAGGAGCUGAUGGAGGCCAAAGCGGUUUUUGUGGGAGUGAACUGGACUUACAGUUAAUUGAUAAUCAGAACCUAAGCUCAUGUUGGCGGCAUUGCUUUUAUGAGAGGAGGAGAGGGUGAAGUCCAGAGACCAUCAACAAAGACACACAGAAGGUGAAUUCACAGAAACAACUGGAUUCACAAAAGAUGGAGGUGACUUCAGAGAAACAACUGGAUUCACAGAAGGCGGAGGAACAGGAGCAGGAGGAGGAGGAGGCAGCAGCUGCAGUUUUGGAUCUGAGGUGUAUGAAAGAAAACAGCAGUUAUGAAGCUGCAGGAUAUGGAUAUACAGACUGAGCAAACACUUUUAAGCAUCUUUAAGAACAUUUAACUGCUUGUGAUAUAAUUUAUUACAGUAGACAAUUAUUCAUGCAAUAAUUGUAUCAUCAGCAGUUAAAUGCUUAUAUUAGUCUGUAGCAAAUGUGUUCAUAACUUAAUUACUUUCUUUGUAGGAGAAUGAAACAAACAUCUGUCAUUAUCUUUGCUGUGGUUUCUUAAAUGUUGUCUGGAACAAAAUCAUUUUACUAGGCAAAAUGCCAACAUUGUCUACUUGCAGCUGCUAGAUUAAAUACUGCUAUCAUUGUAAUAGAAAUUUUCUAUUAUAGAGCUAUAUUUAAUUUUUUGCAGCUGCAUUGUGGAAUAAUACUAAUUAUUAGUACUUAAAACUGAUUAAGUUAACUUUAACUUAGUGAAGUCCGUUCCAGACAAGAGGUUUUAAAGUGUCAAACUGCAGCUGAGAUAAUGACAGAGGCAGACCAAAGAGAAUAAACUAACACUGACCUUCUGGAAAUCUUCAUGUCUGUCUCUUCCCUCUGUGAUUUGCUUCCUGUGGAUAAAAAUCAGAAAACAACAAACAUUAACAUACAGCUUAGUUCAAACUGCCAAAUGAGGGAAUCCACAAAACCAGUGUAUCAUCAUACAUCAACAUCAUCACACAAUCAUAGAAUAAAACAUGAAAAUGUCAUGAGCUUGUGUUAACAACAGACCUUAUUUUUUCAUUUUCAUCUGACAAAAAACCCAUUGACUUUGGGAUGAGGGAACCGGAGGUGUUAAACUGCUAUGUUUUUCUGGGUUUUAAGAUUCCUUCCAAUUACAAAUCAGCACAAACACAGAAUAAGAAGAAUAAAGCGCUGCCAGACUUCACAGUAACUUUGAAUUUAGCCCCAGGUCUGAUACGUUUAGACUUAUAGUUGUACACUAUUUUGGUUCUUGUAAAUAAUAAACCACCAAUAAUUGUAUAUUGCUGUUCUAUUAUUUCAUCUUCUCAA